GGUAGUGUGGCCGAGAACUAGGCGGCGAGUUGUAGCCCCGCCGAGGGGGAAAAAGGUGCCCCCACUACCAAG
rnacentral:tRNA from 1 species